rnacentral:misc_RNA from 1 species
AAGUCGUAACAAGGUUUCCGUAGGUGAACCUGCGGAAGGAUCAUUACCGAGUUGAGGGUUCACUCCGGUGGCCCGAACCUCCCAACCCUGUGUCUACUAUACCUUUGUCGUUGCUUCGGCGGACCGGUCGGACCCCUCACCGGGCCACGACCGCCGGGGACCCUGCGCCCUGGAGAGCGUCCGCCGAUGGCCUCAACCAAAAACUCUUGUACCCAACAUUGUCGUCUGAAUCCACUUGAUUACCAAUCAAAAACAAAACUUUCAACAACGGAUCUCUUGGUUCUG